UCUCAAAAGAGUUUGAUUUGAAGAUCAUUCACUGUAACAUAAGAAAUGUCAUAUUCAGCAGAGGUUGUCUGACUGUUAGUGUUUGAGAUCAUAUGGACCAGAUGAUUUCUCUGGGUACAUGAGCCACAUGCACUGUAGUCAUGAAGAGGAUUUUAUGUGUCCAACGUGAGAGAAACAUGAUUUAUAUGAUGGUGGCUGCAGCACGAGUGUCAUUUCAGAGCUAAAGUUUGAGGAAGUGAAGAGAGAGGAGACAGAAUACAGAUCUGAGAGGAGACGGAGAGAUUCAGGGAGGAGCUGAGCUGUUACUGAACUAUAGAAGAGAGAGGAACUUCCAUAUUCAGCAGAGUUCAAUACACAAACCACAAACAUUACCUUUAUUCAACAUGCUGUCACUGGACUAUUAUGGGCUGUCUCUGAUGUUUCUCUCUAUUAUAACAGGUGUCAGCUGUGAAGAACUCAGUCCAGUCAAGAAAGAAGAGUCCAGUUUAGAAGACAGCACUGUUACUCUGUCCUACACAUACUCCAAACAAGCUGAUGGCAACGAUUAUUUCUUCUGGUAUCGACAAUAUCCAGGAAAACCACCAGAGUUCCUCAUCUCUCACUUGGGAACAGGAACACCAAUAUCUGAUCGAGUCUCUAGACUGUCCUUCAACGUGAGUGAUGAUAAAACCAAAAUGCAUCUGCAGAUCUCCUCUGCUGCAGUGACAGACUCUGCUGUGUACUACUGUGCUGUGAGGCCCACAGUGACAGGAAACACCAAAACUCUGUACAAAAACACAAGCUGACACACUGACAAGCUGCUGG